UGUCCAGGGAUGGGAAUCGAACCCACUGUGUUCCGCUUACCGGGCAGAUGCCAUGUCCACUAGGCUACCCUGAU
rnacentral:tRNA from 1 species